UUCCGGUUGAUCCUGCCGGAAGCCACUGCUAUGGGGGUCCGACUAAGCCAUGCGAGUCAUGGGGCGCCUUGCGCGCACCGGCGGACGGCUCAGUAACACGUCGGUAACCUACCCUCGGGAGGGGGAUAACCCCGGGAAACUGGGGCUAAUCCCCCAUAGGCCUGAGGUACUGGAAGGUCCUCAGGCCGAAAGGGGCUCUGCCCGCCCGAGGAUGGGCCGGCGGCCGAUUAGGUAGUUGGUGGGGUAACGGCCCACCAAGCCGAAGAUCGGUACGGGCCAUGAGAGUGGGAGCCCGGAGAUGGACACUGAGACACGGGUCCAGGCCCUACGGGGCGCAGCAGGCGCGAAACCUCCGCAAUGCGGGAAACCGCGACGGGGGGACCCCCAGUGCCGUGGCAACGCCACGGCUUUUCCGGAGUGUAAAAAGCUCCGGGAAUAAGGGCUGGGCAAGGCCGGUGGCAGCCGCCGCGGUAAUACCGGCGGCCCGAGUGGUGGCCGCUAUUAUUGGGCCUAAAGCGUCCGUAGCCGGGCCUGUAAGUCCCUGGCGAAAUCCCACGGCUCAACCGUGGGGCUUGCUGGGGAUACUGCAGGCCUUGGGACCGGGAGAGGCCGGGGGUACUCCUGGGGUAGGGGUGAAAUCCUAUAAUCCCAGGAGGACCGCCAGUGGCGAAGGCGCCCGGCUGGAACGGGUCCGACGGUGAGGGACGAAGGCCAGGGGAGCGAACCGGAUUAGAUACCCGGGUAGUCCUGGCUGUAAAGGAUGCGGGCUAGGUGUCGGGUGAGCUCCGAGCUCGCCCGGUGCCGCAGGGAAGCCGUUAAGCCCGCCGCCUGGGGAGUACGGCCGCAAGGCUGAAACUUAAAGGAAUUGGCGGGGGAGCACUACAAGGGGUGGAGCGUGCGGUUUAAUUGGAUUCAACGCCGGA
rnacentral:rRNA from 1 species